CUCAAAUUAGUUCAUUUGUCUCUGCAAUAGAGGAUUUCCAGAGAUGUGGAUUUUAAACAAAUCUUCACUUUUGUCAUUGAAUCCAUGAGGUCACCAAAUGAUGCCGUCUGCGUUGUAGGCAGUCACAGCAGAACACAUCUCCCCUCAAAGCCUGCACACCUCACAGCCGGGCAUGGGAGCUCCAAGGUAAUGCUAACGUACAGCCAGGUUUGAGGACUACUGCUCUACAAGCCUGCCUGGCAUCGCACCCUCAGAACUGGAAGAGGGACAACAGCCCACCUUGCCGCAGUGCACAGGGCCAGCAUGCACCACAGGGAGGACACUGCCUGCAGAGGAGGGUCCCUUAACUCUGAUUUGAGCACCGUGGGAAGGGCGAAUGAGAGUAAGAAAAGAAGGCCAGAGAGACUUGAAUGAGGAGGAUAGAUAAAGGAGUGUAAGACAGCAGGCCCCAACCAAGCCAAACCCC